CACCAGACUCCUACGGGAGGCAGCAGUGAGGAAUAUUGGUCAAUGGUCGGGAGACUGAACCAGCCAAGCCGCGUGAGGGAGGAAGGUACAGAGUAUCGUAAACCUCUUUUGUCAGGGAACAAAGGCGGGGACGUGUCCCCGGAUGAGUGUACCUGAAGAAAAAGCAUCGGCUAACUCCGUGCCAGCAGCCGCGGUAAUACGGAGGAUGCGAGCGUUAUCCGGAUUUAUUGGGUUUAAAGGGUGCGCAGGCGGAACGUCAAGUCAGCGGUAAAAUUUCGGGGCUCAACCCCGUCGUGCCGUUGAAACUGGCGGCCUCGAGUGGGCGAGAAGUAUGCGGAAUGCGCGGUGUAGCGGUGAAAUGCAUAGAUAUCGCGCAGAACUCCGAUUGCGAAGGCAGCAUGCCGGCUCCACACUGACGCUGAGGCACGAAAGCGUGGGUAUCGAACAGGAUUAGAUACCCUGGUAAAC
rnacentral:rRNA from 1 species